GUUAGUGCACGGUUAGUGGCUGUCUUUCACGUUUCGAUGCAGUAUAAACUAUAAAGUGAACUAUUAAACAUUUCAAAAAGUUUGUUAAGUAGCAUAAUGUGUUAAAGCAGAUUAAAUGUGAAACCAACAUUAUAGUGAGAUCCUUGUGAAUGGAAAAUAGCAUGAUCCAGGCUGUUCUUCAAUUGCAAAGAAAGAGAAUCAUGAUCGAAACGAAUGGAAUAUAUCCAACUGGAAUUCUCUUCAAAUUCGUGGUAUGAAUCUGUCGCCGCCAUUCCAUAGACUGACCCAUUGGGAUGGUGAAACUGAGGAGAAAACGCUGAAAUUCAAGGAAAUUAUGUUGAUGUAGAUAAAUUAAAAGUGCAUAUCUGG